AUGCAUGGGAGGCUGCAGUCCACCUCUUCCUUGUGGUGCAGCGGACGCCGGCAUCAGCGGGUGGGCGACAGACCGCGGCCUCAGCGGGUGGGCGACGACACCUGCAGCUGGUGCUAUACCCAUGGAUUCUGGCACAACUCGAAACAUUCAGGUACGAGCAUACAUAUAACAUGGGUUGCCAUGAAAGAUGUCUUCCCAUCUCAGGUGAUGAAGAUGGCGUACCUUUAUUUUUUGACACAAGUACUGAUCGGUGUUGGAAUUGGGCUUUAUAAACUUGGCUUUCCAGCAGUGGACAAGUGUGUGGAAAUUGGACUUCCAGAACUCAUCCUAAUGGUCGCAUUUUCUCAGGUACUUCAAAUCAAACUCUACAUGCAAUUGAUGGGGCUACAUGAUAGUCACUUUAAUAUAUCUUCUUGGAAGCCGCUUAGUGUUUCCAUGAAUAAUUGUUGCUGGUCUGUUGCAUGCCUUCAUUGUUUGGUGGGCUACUUCCUUCAUGGUGUGGUUGAAGAAUUUUCAGAGGCACGGUUCAUCUUGCGUGCAACUUUUAGCUUGAGUUUCUAUUGA
rnacentral:rRNA from 1 species